UUUCUUCUCAACUCCCCUCGCAGCCUGUGCUCUGUGCCUCUCAUUCUCCCAGUACACUGCAGCUCCUCCUUCCACCUCUCUCAUCAGCUGCCCCUCCCUCUUCCCUCUCUGUCUCUACUAGGUGCAGCAUGUAUGUGAGUGUGUGUGAGCCAGCCGAGCCGCCUGUGUGUUUACAUGUCAGCCUAUCAGUGCUGCCGGAUUUAGCGCAUCUGGAGAGGACGAAGGCAAUUCUCAAAUGCCCCUCCGACAAGGGGUUCUCAUCGCUGUGUAGAUCCCUCUUUCCCAUUUGAAUCCAGGCUGUCUUGAAUCCUGCAUCCCUGUCUCCAUGCUUUCAGAGGCAUUUUGAAUUUCCUUGGCAACAUGGAGCUGCCUGAAUUAGAAUUCUCUGCAUGACAGUCCUGGUAAGCAGUAGAAUGGUGUCUGGGGAGGCAGGAGGGCACAGCUACUUGGUGGCAUGCUGGCAGCCCAUCCUGAUCCUCAUGCUGGGCACCGUCCUUUCUGGCUCCACCACCGGUUGCCCCUCCCGAUGUGACUGCAACGGUCAGGAGCGUUCAGUCGUGUGCCAUCGACGGAGACUGGCAGGUCUUCCUGAGGGCAUACCCACAGAAACAAGGCUGCUUGACCUCAGCAAGAACCGUCUCAAAACUCUGGGGAACGAGGAGUUCAUCAAUUACCCCCAGCUGGAGGAGCUGCAACUUAACGAAAACACAAUUUCAUCCAUUGAGCCUGGCGCUUUUAGCAACCUUAUGAACCUUCGAACUCUAGGUUUGCGCAACAACCAGCUGAAGCUCAUUCAGCUGGGGGUGUUCACAGGCCUGACCAACCUCACCCAGCUGGAUAUUAGUGAGAACAAAAUUGUCAUUCUGCUCGACUAUAUGUUCCAGGAGCUGUACAACCUGAGGGCUCUGGAGGUUGGUGACAAUGACCUAGUAUUCAUCUCACCCCGAUCAUUUCAUGGCCUCAGCAACCUUGAAAGCCUCAACAUCGAGGGAUGCAAUCUUGCCUCAGUGCCCACUGAUGCCCUUAGCCAUUUGCAUAACCUGUUGUCACUUCGAUUAAGCUAUCUGAACGUCACGGUCAUGAAGGAUUACUCCUUUAAGAGGCUGUAUCGGCUCAGAGUGCUGGAGAUUUCUCAAAUGCCUGCCCUGGAUACCAUGACCGCUAAAUGCUUGUUUGGACUCAACCUCACAUCAUUGUCCAUCACAAACUGUAAUCUUACUGUCAUCCCCUACCAAGCCAUCAGUCACCUAAGAUAUCUCCGGUUUUUGAAUCUGUCUUUCAAUCCCAUUCAUACUGUGGAAGGGAACAAACUGUUCAAUCUGCAGAAGCUCCAGGCUUUUUAUUUGGCUGGUGGGAGAUUAGCUGCCAUUGAGCCCUACUCUUUCCGAGGACUCAACCACCUCCGUGUACUCAAUGUAUCCAGCAACAGCUUGAACACCCUAGAGGAGUCAGUUUUCCACUCAGUGGGAAACCUGGAGACUCUGGCUUUGUAUGACAACCCAUUGGCCUGCGACUGUCGCUUGCUCUGGGUCUUCCGCCGGCGGUGGAGGCUCAACUUUAACAGACAACAGCCCAUGUGUGCUUCACCUGAGGUUGUUCAAGGAAAAGAGUUCAAGGACUUCCCAGACAUUCUCCCUUCUGACUAUUUCAUCUGCCAGAAAUCAAAGAUCAUGGAUUAUAAGGUUCAAGAAAGCCAUGUAGAUGAAGGAACUACGGUUCAUUUUGCUUGCCAAGCUGAGGGUGAUCCAGUCCCUGUGAUAAUGUGGCUAUCCCCUAAGAAGGAAUACAUCACUACCAAAACUGUGGGGUCAAGGCUUUCUGUUUCUAAUGAGGGCACAUUGGAGGUGCGUUACGCCCAAAUCCAAGACAACGGCACCUACUUGUGCAUUGCAAGCAAUGCAGCAGGCAAUGACACCAAAGCUGCUCACCUUUUUGUGCAUAGCUAUUCCCCCAAUUGGCCCCACCAGCCAAACAAGACAUUUGCCUUCAUUUCCAACCAGCCCAGCGAUGAAGGUGCUAAUGUGACCCGGGCCACAGUCACAUUUCCUUUUGAUGUAAAGACACUUAUCAUUGCAACCACUAUGGGAUUUAUCUCUUUCCUCGGAGUUGUCCUCUUCUGUCUUGUAAUAUUAUUUCUCUGGAGUCGGGGGAAAGACAAUACUAAGUCAAGUAUAGAGGUUGAAUAUGUGCCACGUAAAGAAGAACCAGAGGAGGUCAGUCCAACCGAGGCACCCAUACAAUUCAACAUGAAAAUCAUGUGAACUUCGAAUGGAGGCCAUGUAAGCUUAUAAACUGCAGUCGGGAUGCAUACUAUCUUCGCUUCAAAUAUGUACUCACUUUAAAAAGCGAUAGAAAUUGCACAGCAGCAAAUGCAUCUUGACACUAUACCCUCAUUUUUGUUUUUUUACUUGAGGGACUGAAUCUUUAAAAACAAAUGUUGAAUUUAAAAUAUUCAAAUUUCUGUAAAUUUAUAUUGGCAAUAAUUAGUAUGUUAACAUGCACUCAACAACCUGAUGAUUGUGUUUAACCAAAUUAUGCCAAUAGUUUGAAUAAGCACAUGGCUCACAGUAUAUGGAUUUCCAAAAAUAAACUGUUUACAUGAUAAGUGGGUUAUGGUCUGAAAAAAUAUUGAGAUUAGUCUGCAAGUUUGAGCACAAAAUAAGAAAAAUAUCUUGUUAGGAUCUUGCUGCCGUCUUUUGCUUUGAUGGAUGUACAAAAGCACAAUAACCCAUUAUUAGAGCCCAAGUUCUGCUGCUUGAAAUGCUAAGUUGAAAGCAAUUUCUCUGUAUUAUAUUGUCCCAUCACAAGCAAUUGACAAAUGUGACAUGAGUAUUAGGGGUAUUUUUAGAUGGAUAGAAAAAGGUAUAGAGGAUAUAAAGAAGUACUUUCAAGAAAGUUGUAAAAUUACAAAGAUAGGCUAAACUUUGAAACUUAAAAUUUUGAGAAAGGAAAAUAACAGUAUUACAAGACUAAAAGUAAUUUUUUGAAAAUAAGCUGAUACUAUUUAGAGAAAUAAGUUUUAACAUUAUGAGAAACCAUCAUGUUUUAAAAAACAUGUUUGAACAGCAAUUCUCCAAAAUUGAAAUUUUAGUAUUAAGAAUCAGUUGGUGGAUUAGACACAGAGGAGUCAGUGAAACUUACCACCCUUCGUGUGUCAGUGAGCAGAAGCCUUCAACAUUAAAUUGUGUUUUGAUUGCUUUAAUCUGGUUACAGUCUAAUUAGAAGCGUGCAUGUUAACACACUGAAUAAAAGAAAAAAAGCCAGUCCUACAAUAUGUGCUCCUUUCUGCCAGCAAAGGAAGUUUGUCAUUAAAUGUAUUAACAUAUUCAGCUAUACAUAUUUUCUGUAUUUUAUUCUUUCCUUGUACAUUAUGCUAUGGCACAAUAGUAAUGCUUUUAAUGGCUGUGAGUUUUGAACAUUACAAUCUAAGGAGCAGAUUAGAUAUUCAUGUUUUUGAUAUAACUCAACCAAAAGAGAGUUACAACUUUUCGGAGUACCCUUGAAAAUCAUCAGAUUAGCAAUUUAUCAUCAAGUGCAAAAUGUAUUUGUUUACCUAUUCGGCAGCUUAAGUAUGAGCACUCUAAGUCCUGAGGUUAUAUUGUCACCACUGCAUAUCAAAAAUGCUGACAUUAAUUUGUUGCCUUAAGUAACACAUUUUCCAGCUUUCAGCUAAGCAAUACAAUAUUUAUGUGUAAAAUUAACUUUUAUGCCUCAUAAGGAUUUUAUGUAAUUAAUUUCACCGUCUGGUCUGCUCUGAAGAUAGUGUGUUCAUUAACUCUAAAAGUACUUGUUUAAAAAAGGGACAGGCAGAUGGAAAUUCUAUUAAAUAAAUAACAUUUUAUACUA